UUCCAGACUCCUACGGGAGGCAGCAGUGAGGAAUAUUGGUCAAUGGGCGGGAGCCUGAACCAGCCAAGUCGCGUGAGGGAUGACGGCCCUAUGGGUUGUAAACCUCUUUUGCCGGGGAGCAAAGUGCCGCACGUGUGCGGUUUGGAGAGUACCCGGAGAAAAAGCAUCGGCUAACUCCGUGCCAGCAGCCGCGGUAAUACGGAGGAUGCGAGCGUUAUCCGGAUUUACUGGGUGUAAAGGGAGCGUAGACGGUUAAUCAAGUCUGAAGUGAAAGCCCGCGGCUCAACUGCGGAACGGCUUUGGAAACUGAGUAACUGGAGUGCUGGAGGGGCAGGCGGAAUUCCUGGUGUAGCGGUGAAAUGCGUAGAUAUCAGGAGGAACACCGGUGGCGAAGGCGGCCUGCUGGACAGUAACUGACGUUGAGGCUCGAAAGCGUGGGGAGCAAACAGGAUUAGAUACCCCAGUAAA
rnacentral:rRNA from 1 species